rnacentral:lncRNA from 1 species
CUUUCAAUAGUAAAUAAAUAUUAUAAAUAUGGUUGGUCGUCAUGAUUCAUACUAAAAUCUAUAGCUAUAAUUAUUUGCAAGAGUUAAAUAUUUUGUAUUAAGACUUUUCAUUCUAGGUUAUUCAACAAAGAUGCUAUUAGAUCCUACCAUAGUUUUUUUUUUUGUGCGCUGAAUGAUCCUAGCAUAGUUCAUAGCUGUUUUGGUAUUCAUGUUAUAAACUUUUAAUAAGCAACAAAAAAGCUCAAAAUCUAUUCAUUUAUUUACUAGGGGCCACUAGUGUACCUGACCGAAUUACUAUAUUUCUCAUAUUCUAUUCAUUUAUUUACUAAGGAGUCAAUUCACGAGUAUGCUCGAUUGAAUUGCUAUUUUUCUCAUAUUUCAUAUGACCACGUAUUAUAGUUGUUAGAAUCAUGAACAAUCUCAUAUAUUAUAGUAUGUACGAUAUUUAAUAUUACGACUGUCA